GGGCCCGCACAAGCGGUGGAGCAUGUGGUUUAAUUCGAUGAUACGCGAGGAACCUUACCAGGGCUUAAAUGUAACGGGACAGAUCUAGAGAUAGAUCCUUCUUCGGACUCAUUACAAGGUGCUGCAUGGUUGUCGUCAGCUCGUGCCGUGAGGUGUCAGGUUAAGUCCUAUAACGAGCGCAACCCCUAUCCUUAGUUGCCAGCGGAUAAUGCCGGGAACUCUAGGGAGACUGCCCUGGAAAUCGGGGAGGAAGGUGGGGAUGACGUCAAGUCCUCAUGGCCUUUAUGUCCAGGGCUACACACGUGCUACAAUGGGCGGUACAAAGGGUCGCCAAAGCGCGAGCUGGAGCUAAUCCCAAAAAACCGUCCUCAGUUCGGAUUGCAGUCUGCAACUCGACUGCAUGAAGUUGGAAUCGCUAGUAA
rnacentral:rRNA from 1 species